UCCCUGAUGGUCCAGUGGUUAGGAUUUUGCACUUUAAAACUGCUGAGUGUUCGGGUUUAAUCCCUGGUCAGGGAC
rnacentral:tRNA from 1 species